rnacentral:rRNA from 1 species
GACGAACGCUGGCGGCGUGCUUAACACAUGCAAGUCGAACGGAAAGGCCCUGCUUUUGUGCGGUUCUCGUGUGCCGCGCGGGUGAGUGUCACGUGUGUAUCCUGCCCUUGUCUUUGGGAAAUCAUCAGGAAACUGAGGUUCAUAUCGGAUAGGAGCUCCUGUUGCAUGGUGGGCGUCGGUAAGUUUCGGCUGUUGGGGAUGGAUUCGCGGGUAAGCAGCUUGCUAGUGGGGUAGUGGUUUACAAAGCCCUCGGCGGGUAGCCGGCCUGAGAGGUUGACCGGCCACAUUGGGACUGAGGUACGGCACAGACGCGUACGGGAGGCAACAGUGGAGAAUAUUGCACAAUGGGCGGGAGCCUGAUGCAGCAACGCCGCGUGCGGGAUAACGGCCUUCGGGGGAAAAACCACUUUCGCCUGAAACGAAGCGUGAGUGACGGUAAUGAAUAAAAAAGCACCGGCUAACUACGUG